GACGUAGGGUGCGAGCGUUGUCCGGAUUUACUGGGCGUAAAGGGCGCGUAGGCGGUCAGCACAAGUCAGUUGUGAAAUCUCCGGGCUUAACCCGGAAAGGUCAACUGAUACUGUGCGACUAGAGUGCGGAAGGGGCAACUGGAAUUCUCGGUGUAGCGGUGAAAUGCGUAGAUAUCGAGAGGAACAUCAGUGGCGAAAGCGGCUUCCUGGACCAGUACCGACGUUCAGGCACGAAAGCGUGGGGAGCAAACAGG
rnacentral:rRNA from 1 species